rnacentral:rRNA from 1 species
AGUGAACGCUGGCGGUAGGCCUAACACAUGCAAGUCGAACGGCAGCACAGUAAGAGCUUGCUCUUACGGGUGGCGAGUGGCGGACGGGUGAGGAAUACAUCGGAAUCUACUUUUUCGUGGGGGAUAACGUAGGGAAACUUACGCUAAUACCGCAUACGACCUACGGGUGAAAGCAGGGGAUCUUCGGACCUUGCGCGAUUGAAUGAGCCGAUGUCGGAUUAGCUAGUUGGCGGGGUAAAGGCCCACCAAGGCGACGAUCCGUAGCUGGUCUGAGAGGAUGAUCGGCCACACUGGAACUGAGACACGGUCCAGACUCCUACGGGAGGCAGCAGUGGGGAAUAUUGGACAAUGGGCGCAAGCCUGAUCCAGCCAUACCGCGUGGGUGAAGAAGGCCUUCGGGUUGUAAAGCCCUUUUGUUGGGAAAGAAAAGCAGCAGAUUAAAACCCCGCUGUUCUGACGGUACCCAAAGAAUAAGCACCGGCUAACUUCGUG